GAUCCUGGCUCAGGACGAACGCUGGCGGCGUGCUUAACACAUGCAAGUCGAACGAGAAUCUGUGGAACGAGGAUCGUCCAAGUGAAGCAGAGGACAGUGGCGGACGGGUGAGUAACGCGUGAGGAACCUGCCUUUCAGAGGGGACGAACAGUUGGAACGACUGCUAAUACCGCAUAACACAUGGUGUCGCAUGGCACUGAUGUCAAAGAUUUAUUCGCUGAAAGAUGG
rnacentral:rRNA from 1 species